GUACUUGCUUUGGCAGCACAUAUACUAAAAUUGGACCGAUAUAAAGAAGAUUAACAUGGCCCCUGCGCAAGGAUGACACGCAAAUUCGUAAAGCGUUCCAUAUUUAA